rnacentral:rRNA from 1 species
GAUGGUAGUUGGGGCCAGCGCCCCUGCANUUCCCAUCCCGAACACGGAAGUUAAGCCCUCCAGCGCCGAUGGUAGUUGGGGCCAGCGCCCCUGCAAGAGUAGGUCGCUGCUAGGC